rnacentral:rRNA from 1 species
CGUAACAAGGUUUCCGUAGGUGAACCUGCGGAAGGAUCAUUACCUAGAGUUUGUGGACUUCGGUCUGCUACCUCUUACCCAUGUCUUUUGAGUACCUUCGUUUCCUCGGCGGGUCCGCCCGCCGGUUGGACAACAUUCAAACCCUUUGCAGUUGCAAUCAGCGUCUGAAAAAACUUAAUAGUUACAACUUUCAACAACGGAUCUCUUGGUUCUGGCAUCGAUGAAGAACGCAGCGAAAUGCGAUAAGUAGUGUGAAUUGCAGAAUUCAGUGAAUCAUCGAAUCUUUGAACGCACAUUGCGCCCCUUGGUAUUCCAUGGGGCAUGCCUGUUCGAGCGUCAUUUGUACCUUCAAGCUCUGCUUGGUGUUGGGUGUUUUGUCUCGCCUCCGCGCGCAGACUCGCCUUAAAACAAUUGGCAGCCGGCGUAUUGAUUUCGGAGCGCAGUACAUCUCGCGCUUUGCACUCAUAACGACGACGUCCAAAGGUACAUUUUUACACUCUUGACCUCGGAUCAGGUAGGGAUACCCGCUGAACUUAAGCAUAUCA